GACGAACGCUGGCGGCGUGCUUAACACAUGCGAGUCGAACGGAAAGGCCCUGCUUUUGUGGGGUGCUCGAGUGGCGAACGGGUGAGUAACACGUGAGUAACCUGCCCUUGACUUUGGGAUAACUUCAGGAAACUGGGGCUAAUACCGGAUAGGAGCUCCUGCUGCAUGGGGGGGGUUGGAAAGUUUCGGCGGUUGGGGAUGGACUCUCGGCUUAUCAGCUUGUUGGUGGGGUAGUGGCUUACCAAGGCUUUGACGGGUAGCCGGCCUGAGAGGGUGACCGGCCACAUUGGGACUGAGAUACGGCCCAGACUCCUACGGGAGGCAGCAGUGGGGAAUAUUGCACAAUGGGCGGAAGCCUGAUGCAGCAACGCCGCGUGCGGGAUGACGGCCUUCGGGUUGUAAACCGCUUUCGCCUGUGACGAAGCGUGAGUGACGGUAAUGGGUAAAGAAGCACCGGCUAACUACGUG
rnacentral:rRNA from 1 species